AUAUUAUCAUUUAAUAUUCGUUUAGUUUAUUUAAUAUCGAAAUCAAGUUUUUGUUCUUACCUAUUAAAAGAAUCAAGUGUUUUUACUUUUACUGUUUAAACACGCUACUAUUUAUAGAAGUACGCAUGUUUCAUGUUUCUGAAGUUUUUUGGAUUUUAAGUUUCAUUUUGAAUGAAAUUUAAACUGUGAUAGUGAAUUGACCAAUAUGAAUUCAUAAUGAACAUGUAUAUAAGAAAAAUGCAAAUACAUUCUAUUUCGAAGAAUUUUAAUGCUUAAUAAUAUCAUUCGAAAAACAUGUUAAUAUGCUAAUUCAAUUAUUAAUAGUAUUAUUAUCUCAGUUGAUUAUCUUUCGUCUAUUUAACUGUAUUACGAAAAUAUUAUCGCAACUUCCCGCGAUUUAUCUUUUCAUCCGUAAGGUGUGGCGCGAAAAGUACGCAAAUAAAAGAGAACAAGAUGAACAAUAUCAUUUUUCAUUUACGAAUUACGUUUUAUUUGCUCUAUUGCCACGAUGUUCAAAGUUAAGGAAAUCCUUUGUCUGUAAGUAAUUACGUCAAUAAUAUCAUGAAUGAUAAGAGGAAAGAAACCUUGGGACGAUCUAUAUCUACUAGAGUGGCUAGAGAAUAAGUAACAGUGACAAAAUGUUGAUAAAAGAAUAUCGAAUACCGCUGCCUCUCACCGUAGAAGAAUAUAAAAUUGCUCAGCUUUAUAUGAUAGCGAAAAAAUCUAGAGAAGAAAGUCAAGGAGCAGGCAGCGGUGUAGAAAUAAUAGUAAAUGAACCUUAUAGUAAUGGUCCAGGAGGAAAUGGACAAUAUACUCAUAAAAUUUAUCAUGUGGGCAGUCAUCUUCCAGAAUGGUUCAAGAGUUUGUUACCUAGAUCCGCAUUAAUCGCCAAGGAAGAAGCAUGGAACGCUUAUCCUUAUACAAAAACUCGUUAUACUUGUCCUUUUGUUGAAAAGUUUUCUAUCGAAAUAGAAACGUACUAUUUUCCUGAUAAUGGUUACCAAGAAAAUGUCUUUAAGCUCAGUGGUAGUGAUUUGAGAAAUAGAAUUGUAGAUGUAAUUGACAUUGUAAAGGAUCAAUAUACGGGUGACUAUGUGAAAGAGGAAGAUCCUAAAUUGUAUGUAUCUCAGAAAACUAAUCGAGGUCCUCUUACGGAAUCAUGGUUAGAAGAAUAUUGGGCUGAUGUAAAAGGAAAACAACAACCGACAUCAUCCGGAAAAUCGUUAAUGUGUGCAUAUAAGUUAUGCCGUGUAGAGUUCCGUUAUUGGGGUGUACAAACCAAAUUAGAAAAAUUUAUACACGAUAUAGCUUUGCGAAAAACCAUGGUUAGAGCUCAUAGACAAGCUUGGGCUUGGCAAGAUGAAUGGAACGGUUUGACCAUGGAAAAUAUUCGAGAAAUUGAACGACAAACACAAUUGGCAUUGCAAAAAAGGAUGGCCAACGCAGAGGGUGGUGAAGAAUCCCCGAAUGACAAUCAAGAGAAAUCUAUUUCCAAUACGACGAUGACCCCUCAAGAAUCAGAUGUUGCCAUGACGUUAGCUGCCACACUUGGAAGCAUCGAGAAAAAUGAAGAUUUUCAAAGUCCCACAAGUGUUAGAAAAUCAUCUGAUAUACCAAUGACAAAUACAGCUAUCAGUUCGGAGGGUGAAGUUAGUCCCGAAGAUUCGCCGACUGAAGUACCCGAGCUUAGAAAUGCUCCUACUGAAGAAAAAGCAGAUGGAAAGAAGUCAUGGAAGAAGAACAAAGCAGCAAUGAAUUCGCCAUGCUCGAAUAAAAGUUUUGAUAUGCAAAUAGCAAAUUGGCGCAUGGAAAGUAUUGUGAGAGAAUCCGAAUCUGAUAGUGAAGAUGAGUUUUUUGACUGCCAAGCUGGGUUCAUUAUACCUAUUAUAUGCGAAGAGAACUUUGGAGAUAACUCUUCAUUAGCUAAAUGGAGUUCUUUGGAUCUUCUAGCAGAAGAGGACGACAAUACGUUCACUUCGUCCACUAUGGCAAACAAAGAAGACGACACGAUAUUUUCAUCUUCAUAUCUACAACGAAUGGCUAGUGAACGUAGCAGUAAAAGAUUACAAAUUUCUACUUCAGCCAGUAUUGAUGCCUCAUAUCCAGCUUCACCUCAACAUUCUCCAACCCAUCAACCAUGCAAAACUACUGUCCUUCUUAUUGUAAUGCAUGCAGGAAGUGUACUAGAUGCUAAUGUUGAUUUAACGGCGAAAAAAUCAGAUAUCACAACUUUCAAAGGAGCCUUCGAAUCUGUAAUGAGACAACGCUAUUCCAGUAUGGUCGGACAUGUUGCUAUUAAGUUCGUUUCCUGUCCAUCAAUUUGCACUGAAGGUCUUGGUAUUUUAUCGAGUUUAAGUCCUUAUAGUUUUGAUGUUUCACCUUCGUCUAUGGAUGCUCCUCAAGUAACACAUGAUACUAUUCCAAUUGGUGCUAUACCUCUGCUUGCUAGUUCUACUUCUGAAUAUCAAGAUGCUGUCUCACGAGUUAUAGCAGGAGCGAAUCAAGUUUAUCAUGAUUUUAUCAAAAGUGAAGAAGGUCGUGGUUUUACAGGACAGAUUUGCUUUAUUGGAGAUUCAGUAGGAGCGAUUUUAACAUAUGACGCUUUGUGUAGAUCUGUUCAUUCUAGACAUAAUAGCGAGAACAAUAUUUUGGAUAAUCAGGGCAUUGAGAAUAGCAUGAACACUGAAGAUGGCAAACACUUGACUGCACCUUCUCCUAGAAGGAAAUCUUCUAGUACAAGUGAGAGUUCACAUUCUAAAUUGGAUUUUGAUGUAGGAGAAUUUUUCAUGUUUGGUAGUCCACUUGCUCUAGUAUUAGCAUAUAGAAAAAUUUCUGCAGAUAAAUCUACUAAUAUAAAAAGACCAUUGGUGAAUCAAUUGUAUAACUUAUUUCAUCCUACUGAUCCUGUAGCCGCUAGAUUAGAACCACUCAUUUCUGCAAGAUUUUCUCUUCUUCCGCCCGUGAAUGUAGCUCAAUAUCAAAAGUAUCCAUUAGGAAAUGGACAGCCUUAUCAUUUGUUGGAAGCUAUUCAAACAAAUCCACAAUUAUUUACGGAUGGAUUAAACAUUCCAAAUAUGUCAAUGUCCCACUUAAGACGACUGUCCGAUAUAUCGAUUCAUAGUACGAUGUCUGGUGUAGUUGAAAAUGUUCCUUUGCAAGUAAUAUCAAAUUUAACACAAAAAUGGUGGGGUACAAAGAGAUUAGAUUAUGCUCUCUAUUGUCCUGAGGGUUUAGCAAAUUUCCCUACAAAUGCUUUGCCUCAUCUUUUUCAUGCCAGUUAUUGGGAAUCUUUUGAUGUUAUUGCAUUUAUUCUACGACAAUUAGGCAGAUUUGACUUACCAUUACUCGCAAAUGAAGAGAAAGAAUUAACUUGUUUCCGUCCAGGUCAACCUAGAGAGAAGUGGAAUAAGAAACGUACUUCUGUUAAACUUAAGAAUGUUGCUGCCAAUCAUAGAGCAAAUGAUGUAAUUGUUAGAGAAGGAGCACCUCAAGUGCUGAUUGCUAGAUUUAUGUAUAGUCCAAUUGACGUUAUUGCUUUAACCGGCGAAAAAGUGGAUAUUCAUAUUAUGAAGGAUGCACCUGCAGGGGAAUGGACAUAUUUAUCAACUGAAAUAACUGAUAAGAAUGGUAGAAUAACAUAUAAAAUACCUGAUGAUAAAGCAUUGGGAUAUGGUCUUUACCCAGUUAAAAUGAUUGUUAGAGGUGAUCAUACAUUCGUAGAUUUCUUCUUGACUGUGAUUCCACCAAAAACAGAGUGCGUGGUAUUUAGUAUAGAUGGCUCAUUUACUGCGAGUAUGUCUGUAAGUGGAAAAGAUCCGAAAGUUAGAGCUGGAGCUGUUGAUAUUGUCAGGCAUUGGCAAGAACUGGGAUACUUAAUUAUAUAUAUUACCGCAAGACCUGAUAUGCAACAACAGAAAGUUGUUUCCUGGUUAUCUCAGCACAACUUUCCUCAUGGCCUUGUGUCCUUUGCAGAUGGUCUUUCAACAGAUCCGCUGGGUCAUAAAGCUGCAUAUUUAAAUAAACUUGUACAGGAACACGGUGUAAUAAUUCAUCAUGCAUAUGGCAGCAGUAAAGAUAUUAGUGUUUACACUGCAAUUAAUCUUAAGCCAAAUCAAAUUUUCAUCAUUGGGAAAGUGUCAAAAAAAUAUCAUGCCUUGGCAACUAUCCUUCACGAUGGUUAUGCUGCUCAUUUAAGUAUGCUACAGGCGCAUGGAGGUUCGAGACCUGCUCAGGGUAAUGCACGUAUGGUGAUUCCAAGAGGUCAAUUUGGUUUACCCGGACAAAAUGCUUCUCUACGGCGAAGAAGGUAAUAAUUCUUUCAAUCCUUGCUAUCCUCGACAUUCAGAUGUUUUGGUUACUGCAGAAUGGUGGAAGUGUGCAUAUACAAUAUAUAUUGUCCUCUAGAAAGAAGAUAUGCAGAAUGGGCGUAAGGCAUUUCGAAGAAAUAAGAAUUCUAUUGUCUGUACAUAGUUAAUGCUGUAUUUUUAUAGAAUGCAUACUGUGAUCAGUAUGAAAUUUUAAGCAAAGGUAGUUGUUUCAGAGACGAUCAAUGACGCGUGCAAUCUUCGUAUUUGAACUCACAUUCAUCAGUGUUAACUAAAAUCCACUUUAUAUCGAGAGAUUUCUCUGUAAAACAAUCAUAACUACGAAAACAAGGUACCUGUUAUGAAGAUAUGUACGCGGCGUAGUUGAUAUUUUGUGCUCUCAAGAGCCGCCACCAUUCUACGCUCAAACUUAAUGUUUUAUCUAUCAACCAUACACAUGUCCAGAAUUUGUGGUUAAUCAACUAUGAGUGUCUAGAUGUACACAGAAUUAAAAGUUUUUUCGUUACCUCCUGAAAAUGGUCUGAUCUCACUUUAGCGACCAAGCUCUUUUAGACUGGCGAAGCGUGCAAUAUCUCAACCAACUCCGAGUAAAGUGAUCUAUCCCUUGGAACGAUCAACGAGUGUUGGGCCUCCAAUUUCAUCACAGACUACAUCAACCUUCCGAUCCACGGCACCAGAGAAACUUUGACGAUUCGCACGCUGCCGGUCGUUUUUUGAGCCCCGGCAUUAGCUGUAUACAUUUAAACACUUUAAAAAUACGAGGAUAGUUCGAAGAGGAAGUCCUCGUAUAUUUCGACCGAUACGUGCUCAACAAUCUAAAAAAGAUGAUUCUACUUUGUUACUCCGCCUUUUUAUAUCCUCUCUGUAUACCUAUUGUAAAUUUUAAAAUGCUAUUCGAUAUUACGAAUCCAUGUUGUAUAAAGUGCGAUAAACUGUAUAGACUUCCCUAUCUGGUGUGAAGAAGGAACUUUCUAACCGAGAAAAAAAUGAUUUGAACGUACGAGGACUUUGUCUUUUGUCCCUUUUAACGUGUUAUUAUAUCAUCUAUACCAUUUUGAACAAUGUGAUUAAUUUUUUUUUUUUUUUUACUGAUUUAUUACGAGAGCUUUUUUCUAGUGAUCUUUCCAAGUAAACUGAUACAACGUCUUCUGUAAAAGAUGUGAUCGAGCACGAUCAAAAUUUUUGAUAACGUAGUUUGGAUCACGAAUUGAGUCUAGUUCCUAAAUAUAUAAAUCGACAUCUUAGAAGAUAGAGAUCUCCUAGAAAAGAAAGCGCAAUCUUUUUUAACAUUUUUUUUCCAUUGUUUAAAAUUUUAAUCGAUUGCACGAUUUUAUUUCAUCGAUUUUCGAUCAAGUUUCAAAAAUAUAUCCUACGAACUGUGUGUAUGUACAAUCAUGUUUUAUCUAAUUGAACUAUAUUAUUAUUCUAAUCAUAGUUCGUAAGAUAUAAAUAAAAGAAAAAAAAGGACAGAUCGGAUUGAUUGAAAUUGUUACCUGAAUUUUCUUCAUUGUUGGCAAGAGAAAACUGAUAUUAUAAUCGUUACUGAUAAUUAGCUUUUAAGUACACUGUUAUUAUAGUAACUCUAAUUAUUGCCAAGAGUUAUUAUAUAUAACAAUAUACGCGUAAUAUUGCCCAAGUUCCUUCGGUGCUAUGUUAUUUUCAACUAUUCAUAUCGAUUUGUAAAAAGAGAAGGGAAGAAAUCGAUAAAAAAAAAAAAAUAUUAAAAAACAAAAAACAUGUUUUGUACGUUGUCUAUCGAGAAGUAUCGAGAGUAUAAUAGUAUGUUCUUCGAUAAACGUUGGUACAAAGAUACUUCCCUCUUAAUUGCUAUAGUUCCAUGUCAUCAUAGUCAGCAAUUAUGUAAAUAUAUCAAAAUGUAUAUAAAUAAGUAUUGCUAUAAAAUGUUCAUGGAUAAAAUAUUUAGAUUAUAGACAAAUAUUGAUUUAUUAAUUUCUUAUACGAACUUCGUCAACGAAAAUACUGUCCAAAUGAUAAUAAAAGUAUAAUAGUUUCUUCUACGCGAAUGGCAUAAUUCGAUGACGAAGAACGUUGAUAUUAAUUAUUGAAUAUGUUUUCGAAGAUAGUACGCUUAUAAUUAAGUUAUUAAUUAUCAUGUCCAUUUCUAAUCGUGAAUGUAUAUUUAAUUUUGUAAUUGAUAACAUAAAUCGAAAUACUGUAUUGUCGCUUGAUAUUAUUAUAAUUCAUUAAUAUGAUAAUUAUUUAAUGUUAUAAAAAAAGUCAGUGUGUGGGUACAAACAAAGAUACUUAAAGUAAAGCAUGUGGCGAAAGUAAUGUAAUGAUUAUUUCAAUUUCAUUAUCAUAUUAUUACAAUGAAUUAUAUAUAUUUUUUUUAUUUUCGCAAAAAAAAAAAAAAAGAAAUGAUUUGAUAU